GGGCUUGUGGUUUAGUGGUAUAAUACUCCCUUAGCAUCUUGUGGCGUCGAUAGAGUCCUAGAGAAACAUGGGAGUGGUCCAGGGUUCGAUUCCCUGCAAGUCCA